CAAAACUCAUAGCUCAAAAGGGUCACAAAAUUUCUUUCAUUUCCACACCUAGAAAUAUCCAUCGUCUACCCAAAGUGCCUGAAAACUUGCAACCUUUGGUGGAUCUGAUAGAACUCCCACUGCCCCGUGUUGACAAACUCCCAGAAAAUGCAGAGGCCACUGUUGACAUUCCUCACCACAUCAUUCCAUACCUCAAGCUGGCUUUUGAUGGUCUUGAACAACCUUUGACCAAGUUUCUGGAGAGAUCCAAACCCCAUUGGAUAAUAUACGACUUUGCACCUUAUUGGUUGCCACCGAUAUCUUCUAAGCUAGGAAUCUCAUGCGUCUCAUUCUGUAUUUUUAGUGCAUCUGGUAUGUAUUCUUUUUCGGAUUUUUUUACAAGAAAAGAAAGUGAGUCCCCGCGGAGCAAAGGUAUUCCCGAAGAGCAUAAUGAAAAUGAUGAAUCGGGGGUUUCAGAUAUGUUUCGAGUCCUUAGAACUUCUAAUGGUGCUCAAGUUAUUGCUUCAAGAAGCUGCAUGGAGAUUGAAGGUGAGCCUCUCAAAUUGUGUGAAAGUAUAUAUAGGAAAACAGUGAUUCCAGUUGGUUUAUUGCCACCUUCAUUACAGUUCAGUGAAGACAGCAAUGAUGAAAACUGGAAUACCAUCCUUAAUUGGUUAGACAAACAGGAAAAAGGGUCAGUGAUUUAUGUAGCUUUUGGAUCUGAAGUGACACUAAGUGAUGAGGACUUCACUGAAAUUACUAUGGGAAUAGAAAUGUCUGGUUUUCCUUUUUUUUGGGUUCUGAAGAAGCAAAACACCUCUAGCGUUGAGUUGCAGGAUGUGGUUGUGAAUAACUCAGGAAAGGGUAUGGUGUGGACAACAUGGGCCCCACAGAUGAGGAUUUUAUCACACAAGUCUAUUGGGGGGUUCCUGACUCACUGUGGUUGGAGUUCAGUGAUUGAGAGUCUUCAAAUUGGGUGUCCACUUGUUAUGUUGCCCUUCCAAAAUGAACAAUUUAUAGUUGCUAGGCUUAUGGAGGAGAAAAAGGUAGGGUUCAAAGUAGAGAGAAAUGAGCAUCAUGGGAAGUUCACAAGGGAAUCAUUGGCCAUAGCAUUGAGAUCAGUGAUGUUGGAAGAAACUUAUAGAAGUGAAGCACAGGAGAUGAGUAAGAUAUUUGGGGACAAAGAACUGCACCAAAAAUACAUUGAUCACUUUGUUGAUUACAUGGAAAUCCAUAGGCCUACCAUGAAAGAUUAGUUUUCUGCCAUGAAGGAUUAUUUGUAAUUGAAGCAUAAGUUUUAACGUUGUUUGUUAUUGGUUGUGUUGAUUAGUGGUGCAUUUGUGAUGUCUAGAAAUGUUUGAGUUUCCCUUUUGAAACAAAAAAUUUAAAUCGAUUGAAAGAUUAUCCUCUGAGAAUGAACUGGAAUACCUUGUUCUAUUUUGAAGAUUGAACUGAAAAAGAUAGGCAUCCAAUCCGUGGAAUACAUAGACGUGAAGUUGUUUUGUGAUAAACACACAUAUGCAUCUCCAAAUGAUUCACAAUCAGUAAUAAAAGCAACUUUGAACAAAUGGAAAUAAUAAUAUAUCUUAACACAUCAAAAUAUUAGUUUCCUAACCAAAUCAAAGCAAAGAAACCAAGCAAGUAAGGCUUUUCCAUUCCACCACUUUGAAUAUAUGCAAAUAGCUAAUCCUAUGAACAGCAAUAGCCAGUUUCAAUAAAGGUAAAAAACAAAGAUAUGCACAUUUUUUAAGUCUGGUAUGAGGUGUUAGCUGAGAUUUCAAUGUCGCAUUCAAUAGUGUAUAUAUCUGACAAGAAAUGUCCUUUUGCUUUAUCUUCAGAUUUUUCAGCCCACUUGCAAUGGUUUAGUUUGGAUUAUGAUAGCCACAUUCAUUGUUGUAUCACAUUAGACCACAUGUUGCUAGUUCUAUUUGUCAGAUAUCUUGAUUGUGAAAUUUUACACUAUUUUUCUUUGCUCAUAUUGUUUAUUGUUUGUCCUUUCACAGGUGGGGACUUGUGUUGAAAGUGGAGCAAUGUGUUGUGUGCAGUAGUAGCAAACUUUUCAGACGAGUACCUCCGCCACAGUUAUAUGCCCAUAUGCACAUUUAUUAACAAGUCUACCAAUAUUACAUCAGUUUGUAAAGCUGAUCUUUUACCUACCUUAACUACUAAACACUAUCCAAAAUCUUAUAAACUUCAAUGGAUUAAAAAUGAUGGUACGUAGUAUACCUAUCUCCCUAGAAAACUAUCAAGAUAAACAAAUUUUAUGUGAUAUAGUUUCUAUAGCACACAAUAUAUCUUACUUGGUAGGUCAGGAUAAUAUAAUCAUAAAAUUAUUGAGGAUGACUUUACCAAUAAAAUAAGUUUCACUUAUCAAUAAUGUAGUGGUGGAUCCUGUUGAAAUUUUUGUUUUGGCCCAAGUAAAGGCGUGGGCAUGGGUAAGUUAUAAAUUUUUAAAGUCAAAUUUUUCUUAUUCUGAUUGGUGUAUUAAUGUAUAUGAAUGUUUAAAAUCACUACAUUGAUGAUUAAUACCCUUUCUUUGCUUUUGGUUGGAUUCUUGGUUUGCAUGAGAGGAAUGCCUUGGGGUACAACUAUAAUCAUAAUGGAUGCUUGGAAAAUGCAGUAGAUAGCAAGGAGGCAAAGUCUUUCUUUUGAGCUGAUACGCUUAUAGUCUGGAACUGGACUAAGUUACAUGAUUCUUUGAUAGCUAAUUUGGUUUAUGUAUUGACAUCUUGUUGUUUUUAAAGAGGUUAAGAUUAGCAGAUAUAUGUGUAGAAUAUGUCUAUGUUUAGGCAUGUUAUCUAGAAACCUCAUUUCUCUAGCAUAAGAAAUUUUGUACAUGGGUUGGAGUACCCCUAGUACUUCUAUUUAUUAAAUCUUUAUUGGUGAUUAAAAAAAAAAAUCAAGGGAGAAUUUUUUCUCCUAUCACACUCAACAAGUGAGGGAUGAUAAAUUAGAAAUGAAAAAAAAGGUUUAAGAAGAAAAGAAAAAGAAAAGGAGAAGCUAGAGAAAGUUAGAAAGGAAAGAAGAGUUAAUCAAAUAAAACUCUAAAGAAACAAAUACAAGAGAAAUUCUUAAGAGGACAUGUAUGUUCUUAAACUCUUGUUCUAAAAGAGGUAAUAAUUCUAAAUUGUCUUCUAAAAAAAUCUACAAAGAAAAUAACUUUUUCUUAUUGUUGCAUAGUAGAUGACAAAAACAAAGUGAAGAAAAUAUAUUUCCAAAAGGAGUGAUCCUUAUUUUUUCACUUUUUUCCUUUAGAUACACUUGUCUUUUCAUAAAAAAACUUAUUCAACUUUUGUUUGUUAUUUGAGUCUGAAAAAAUAAAAAUAAAAAUAAAUUAAGAAUAAAUAAAAAUAAAUCAUUUUCAAGAUAAAGGGUGUAUGAUGAAAACCAUUUAACCACAUCAAUAUAGGCUAAAAGGAUAGAAGAAGAUAAAACCCUAUACUUCAAGUGUAGAAUAGUAGAAUUUUCUUCCUCAUAGGGACUAAACUCCACCUCCUCCUUGACUAUCACCUCAUGGUGGUUCAACCUUUAUACAUACCUAAAAAAAAAGAUGUAUCAUACUUUAGUCCAUCUUCUCCCUUAUACUCUUUCUCCCCUCUAGCCCAAAGAUGAACAUUUCAAACUCAUGGUGAGGAGUAGAAGAUUCAAACAUUGGGAAGUUCCUCAUUAUAUUGGUUGUUUCCACUUGUUGAGGAAUUACCUCUUAAAGAAAGGUGUUGCGUUUUAGUAGCUAACACUGACUCCAUAACUUGUGAGUGGUCUUUGUUCUUGCUAUCUCGCAAACCAUAACCUGAAUCUGUUUAGGUUUUUAAGCUGCUAAUAUAAAACUGUGAUUUCAUAGGAUCUACAGCACUUACAAAUAGAAGUGGGCUUUGCCAUUGUAGAUGCAAACAAUAAGGCGCAAAACAAACGUAUUAGAGAAAGAAAACUCCAAGAAGCCCUUAUAAAUACUACAAUGGUUUAAUGGUACAACUUAAAUGAGUUUUAUCUUUUCAUUUUUUUUUACCUAUAAGUUUUUAAAGAAGUUUAUAUGGUCAUGAUCAAAGUUUACAUAAAGAUUUUGUGAUCUGCUUUAUUCUUAUUCGACUUGAACAAGUUAUCUUAAAAAAUGUCAUAUUAAAAAAAUGAAAAGAUUUGACUAGAGCAUCAUCAUUACAAGAAAUUUGUUUUUAAUGAAGAUUAUUUAGAAUAAGUUAAUAUAAUUUUAAGAAUUAAUUUAGUUAACGGAUUCUUUUUAACCUUCAAAAAGAUUUAUUCUAAAAUCUCAGUAAAAUAACAAGAUUGUUUUAACUUUCAUUAAAUUCUAAAUGUUCAUUUUAAAACCUCAACAUAAUAACAGAGAUUUUUUUAACUUUAAUUAAAUUUCAAAGGUUUAUUAUAAAACCUCAGUAAAAUAAUUAAGGUUUUUUUAACUUUUAUUAAGUCCCAAAGAUUUAUUGUAAAAACCUCAACAAAAUAACGGUGAUUUUGUUAACCUUUAUUAAAUUCUAAAAGUUUAUUCCAAAUCUCAACAUCAACAAAAUAACUGAGGGUUAACCUUCGUUAAAUUUCUAAGAUUUAUUUUAAAAUUUUAGCAAAAAAGUUGAGUUUUUUUAAUCUUCAUUAAGUUAGAAAGAUUUAUUUUAAAAUUUUAGUAAAAUAAUAGAGAUUUUUUUAAUCUCCGCUAAAUUUCAAAAAUUUAUUCUUGUGAGAGUAAUGAUUUCAUGGUGAUGUAUAAUUUAUAUAUGCUUUAUCUGUUUAUUUAAUUUAUGCAUACUUUAUCAAAAUUUCAAAUUUUUUCGUAGAUUAGAGCUAUUAGUGAUUUUGUUUUUCAUUUUCAUUUUUAGUUCUUAAAUUAUUAUUAGAUCAAUAGAAAUUUUCUUUAAAAUUAGGUUUCCUUAUCAUCUUCUCGUACGAUGUAAAAUCGGAGCUGAAGCGAUUCCCGUGGGCUAUAGUCAGGCUUCACGCACGUGAUCUCGUCUUCAAUUAUGAAAGAUGCAGGAGUUAGAUUCGAAACUUAAAUUUGAAGUUUGAAAAACAGAAAAGUUGAUUUCUCAAGAUAAUCUUCUUGUUCUUCUAAGCUAAAUUUGAUUAACUGAGUUUCUGGUGAAGCAGAGUAUUACGAAGUGGACUUUAAGCCUAACUCAACCCCAUAAAAUCGGCUCAUAGGGUUGAGGUUUGCACCCACUUAUAUACAAUGAUGGGAUCUCCAACACAUCCCCUCACGCCGAGAGUGAUAGAUAGAAACUCGUGCGUGGGACUAUAUAUUAUGGGUGGUCCGAUAGCGGCCCGAUAGCAGAUGGCCUGAUAAGUCCAACAAAUACUCGCUAGGAUAGGCUCGAAAUGGCUCUGAUACCAUAUUACGAGGUGGACUUUAAGCCUAACUCAACCCCAUAAAACCGGCUCAUAGGAUUGAGGUUUGCACCCACUUAUAUACAAUGAAAGGCUCUAAUCUCUAGUCGAGUAUCUCCAACACAGCUACUGUUUUCCUUGUUCUAAAUUUGUUAUUUGGUGAAAAAUUAAAUGUGAUUGUGUAUCUGUUUUGAGCUUUGAAAGAAGUGCAGAAAAGGUGUUUGGUAAAAUUAAAAAGUGGAAGUUGGGUUCAAUUGGUUCUAGGAUAAUGGUUCAGAUAUAGAGUCUUUGAUUUUCUUGUGCAGCAGGUAUCCGCACGAUAAUGUUUCCAAACAAAAUGAAGACGCUUCGGUUUAGAGAAGUUACUUCCUCAAAUCAAAUCAUCUUCAUUCAUAAUGUUCUACUCUAUGUUACUGUUCUUUAUUCCUAUAUAUGUUUUCAUUGCUGACAAAAAAAAAAUCAUAUAUAUGUUGCUGAUAUUGUUUAUUAUAUUAUAUAUGGAGAGCUUGCGUCAUGGUUUAGGCUCAAAUAUCCUUAUAUGGCCAUUGGUUCUCUUGCCUCAUCGGCUCCGAUUCUCUACUUUUAUGAUGUUAUACCACAAGAUGGUUACUACUCUAUUGUUUCAAGGGAUUUUUAGAGUAAUUUAUCAUAUUUUUAUUUUUAUUUUUUCUUUAUUUGUUUAAUUCUAUCAUCAAGUAUAUGAGAAAAAAAAGGUGAUUUUGUGAAGGAAAACAACCUAAACAGGCACAUUUAUAUAAGCUGUAAAAGCAGUCAACAAAAUUGGUUUUUACGGGUUGUUUUUCAAAGUAAAAAGAAUGUGUUUAGAGAGAAUACUGACACACAAAGCCCUCAAACAGAAUGCACAGAACCAGUACAUGCAUAUUUGACUAGUCAUUAAAUUUCUUAAAUUUUCAAGAAGAUACGGAAUAUAUUCCUAUUUAUGAUGAAAGUUACUCCCGACCAGAUCGUAUUCAAAGCGAUAAUAAAAUAAAUUUGGACUCAUAACAAUUUUGAGGAGGAAUUAGCAACAGAAACAAUGCACGAAGAUUUAAAACAUCUUCAAUGAAAUGCUGUGAGGGAUGAAACAAUCAGUUGUUUUAUGAAAAAAAUCGGUUGUUCACUAGUAGAAAAUAUGCAAUUAACGACACCAUACAAAGACGAUUCUUAAAGAAAAGUCUUUAUAAGAGAGAAGGUGGCAGUUUCUGUAAAUAUUUUCAAAUUCUUAAUGGUCUUAACGACGGUUCAAGCAGAAACCGUCGUUAACCGUGUAAGACUGUGGAUAUAAAGAUGGUUCUAUACAUAACCGUCGUUAUUUGGCUGUUCAGGAAAAAAAAGCGCGCUCCUUUCCCUCACUCUUCAUUCUCUCAUUUUCGCACAACAUUCUCUCCUCACCAACAACCACUGCUAGUUGCGCCGCCUACUCCGAUUGUGUCACCAUGAGCAGCUGCCGCGAGCUUCAUCCCAGCUCCCAUCGCAAGCUCCAAUCCAACUCUCGUUGCGACUCUCCCUUGCUCCGUCAGCCUCCUCUGCCGCACCAGCCACCACAACCGCUAUGAAUCAAGUUCGGUCAGCUUCUGCAUCCGCGCGAGCCUCAUGCGUGUCGCACCGACCAGCUUCCUUCGCUGCACUAGCUCUCGCCACCACGUCCCACUCCUACUACCGCCACCAAGCAGGUUAGUUUUUAUUUAUUUAUUUAAUUAUUUUUAUAAUAAAUAUUUUGCAUUAUAUUUAUAUUAGUUAGUACUAUAAUUUACUUAAUUAAAUUUAUAAUAAAUAUUUUCAUUUAUAUUUAUAUUUAUAGUAGUUCGUAUUCUAUUUUAUUUAAUUAAUUUUAUAAUAAAUAUUUGCAUGUAUGUGUUGAUUAGUAAUUAUUAGUAUAUGUAUGUAUUCAACACGUUGAUUCUGAGUCCGGGGCUGUCUGACUCUUGACAUGUUUGAUUUAGUUAUAGGAUUGUAUUUAUUGAACAUGUUGAUUCUGAGUCCAAGGGUGUCCGACCCUUGACAUAUUUGAUUUAAUUAUAGUAUGUUAUUUAUUUAAGACGUUGAUUCUGAGUCCGAGGGUGUCCGACCCUCAAGAAUUUUAAUUUAAUUAUAGAAUUUGUAUAUAUUGAACAAGUUGAUUCUGAGUCUGGGGUGUCCGUCCCUUGGCAAUUUUGAUUUAGAUUUUUUCAAUUUACCAGUUUUAUGGAUCGGAGUUGGAUUAGUACAUUAAGGAUAAGUGAUGCUUACGAAAAAGGGGUUGAAGAAUUCUUACAGUUUACACAACAUAUUGUCGUUAGUAAUCAAUACGAGCUGGACACUCAUGCUUCUGAGUUGGAAGGGUGUUAACUUCGGUGGGAAUGAAUGACGUAUAUUUUCUUGCUUUUGCACAAACCAACAUGAAGUAUCUUAAUUCUUUGUCUUUUCCUCUCUUUGAACUUCUUUUUCUAAUUCCAAAACCUUUUCUAAUGGCAUAUUCUUUGUAGAAAGUUUUAACAACAUCGACAUUGUUAAAUGACAUGCCAACUGUAGGAACUAAUUCACUAACAUCAACAGCUAUGUUAUCAAAUUCUUGCGAAGGCUGACCGUCUUCAAACAAAGAAAUCUCAUCAGGAGAAAUAUUAUCCAUAUCUAUCCAGAGCUACAUUAUAUACAAAUUUGAUAUUGCAAAUUAAGACAUGUUAUUUGUUAACAAAUAUGUCCAAAUUUUUCUCAAAACUAGGGUUUUUUUGUAACUUUGGAACUAAAAUAUGUAAUAAGAUCCCACGAUAAUUGGUGCAAAAAAAUAACAUAUCUAAGAGGUUUAACACAACUCAUAUGCAACCAUAGUUGAUACUGUCAUCACAUUUUACAGAUUAUUUUAAACAAACACAUUGUGCAAAAUUAUAGUUUUUGGAAGAAUGACAAGUAGGGUUUUUUUUUUUUGCUCUACAAGUGAAAUGUCCAAAUAUUCCAUGAUUUGGCAUACAAAAUGAAUGUACAUGCAUGAACUCCAACCAAACAAUGAAAACUUUAAUUAAAAUGCACUAACAUUGUGUAUAUAAGUCUAAUAAAUACAUCUUCAAAAUCAUAACAAAUGCAUGUGUAUUAAAUAUGUGCAAAACCUGUGGGUCCCACACUCAUUGGAAUACAUGGAAUGAAGGAAGUGGAUAGAGACUGAAUAUAUUAAAAGUUGUGGGUUCCACCUUGAAUAAGAGUGCAAAAAAAAUAAAUUUUUGAUGCUGGAAAAUGCAAAAUGUUGGUGGUGGAAGAUGAGAAUGAAAAGUGGAUGGUGUUUUGUGCAAUAAAGGCACGAAAAUGGUGGUACUAAUGGGAAAGGAGUAGCAUUAAUGCAACUCAACCACCACUGUGCUAAAGUGAUUAUUGUGGCAGGAACUAAUAAAGACCUCGAUAAUGCUGUCAUAAUCUACCUAAAAACUAGUUCAAAUAAAUGUUAUACAUAUGUCAAAUUCAAGAGUGCACUAGUGUCAUUUGGAUGGUUCUUUCUUAGAGAAAGAAGAAACCAUUGCUAAACCACUAUAGUGUAUCUUUUGAAACAUAAAAACAAUAUUUAGUCAUACUUUAGCUUUGCCAUCUUCACUAGCAGUUUGAAUGGAGCAAUGGGAAAACCUUGACAUUGAUACCAAUGACCUUGCAAGCUUUGUGCGUCGUUGUAACACCGACACAAGUUUCAUUACGGGCCCAUCCGGUAAUGUGCAAACAAUUAUCCUUAAUCGAAACUCCAAAGAUGCAGUCAACACACAACAAUUUAUAAACAAUAUAGCUGACGAAAGUCAUAGGCAUGACAUGGAAUUGGGCACAACAUCUUCUUCACUUUCAUGAUAAUGUUUAUGACAAUCAUUUACACUUUAACAGUUAUUCGUGUGCAAAAAGUAAUUUUUUUAAGGCCCAAGUUGAUGGACAUGAUUGUGAGCAAAUAUUAUUUUUGGUUAACAUUAAGCCACAUUUUGUUUGCCAUUGCUUACUUGUCUUGUCAAAGAAUGCCAACCAAAUGGUUUAAGAGAUAUGUUAAUAAUUAUUAAGGUAAUAUAUGGCUUAUGUACUCUUUUGAUCCUUUCAGUUUAUGCAACACAAAAAUGACUAUUAUACACCUCUUUAGUACAGGAUCCAAUAGGAAUAGUUAGAGAAAGUGUACACGAAAAGGUGUUAAAAGAUCCGAAAUUUGGAUCACAAAUUGCAGUAGGAUCAGUUUUAGUGCUAAGAAUGUAUUUAUCUUCCAUAAAACUCUUUUCAAAUAAGUCCAUAUCAUAUUUCAUGAAAGCAUUAAUGCUCUUAUAGGUAGCCAUAUUUAUCCGAAUAAAAGAGCAUUCUAUCUUAAUAUAACCAUAAUUAACAUUGUUAAGGUAUGUGGCUUUCAUUAUAACUUUAGUAAAAAAAGUGUUCCUUUCGUUACAAUAUUCAUGCCUAUAGGUUUAAAAAUUUGACAUAUGUCCACAAUCUGAUUCAUGCUUAUAGGUUUUCAAAUUUGACAUAUGUCCACCAUUUGAAGAGGAAGUUCGUUGUUGUCAUCCAAUAAUACGCGUUCCACUGACUCUAGGUACAGUUCCAAAAAUUUUCUAUACUUUAAAAACAAUGUCCUAUAUGCAAUAUUGUAAUUCACAUUUCAAUAUUCAAAAUAUAUUCAGAUGCAAAGCAAUUGGAGUUAUUAAAUAAGAUGGAGGAAGACAGAAUCUGUGGUUCAAGGAUGGUUUAAAUUCCCACAUCUUACAAACAUGCCUAUAUGCACUAUGAAGACUAUUAUUGUAUAAUUGAGAAUACAAAAUUGUAUUUAUAAUUCAUAAGAACAUGUCUGAACAAUGCUUAUUACAUGUGUUAAUUGAAUUUUUUGGUUACUUGUCCUUCUUAAUUUGUAUGAACUUAGUUUAUAUGAACUUAGUUUAUGUGUAUUAACACUACCAUACAUUCAAAUUUAAAAAAUAUGUUCACUUCAACCACAUAAAUGGAAGACAAUUAAAAUUAAAAAAACACUUGAAAAAGUCCAACAAAUUUACAAUUAGUAAAAUUAGAACGUAGUUGCUAAAUACAUGUCUUAAAUUCUUUAACCACAUUACACCUAAUGAAAUAAACAUGUGUCAUUCCUAACAAGUACUUCGUAAUAAACAUACUUUAGUACUAAACACGUCAUGUACGAUCCCUUUCAAUUAUGACUAACAAAACCAUUUUUUCCCCUUGCAUACCUAGUCCGUGGUGUUUUCAUGACAACCGACUUCACACGUUUCCUUGCUUUAUGCUUGACUCGGGUGAAAAUGUUACUCUUUUCUUCCUACCCAUCUUGUUCUUCGUGUACGUCUUGUUCUUCAGGUACGUCUUGCUCUUCGGGUACGUCUUUAUCAUCAACGUAAGACGUCUGCAAAUGUUCUUCAUCAUCUGCAGAAGGACUAUCACGCACAUAAGAUUUUACGCGUGCAGUUAAAAAUUCUUGUAACUCUUUCAACUCCUUCUCCAAAUUGCUGAUGACAACCUUUUGUUCCUACACUUGGUGAAGCAUAUCAACUACUUUCACCUUCAUUUUACCAUAGUCCUUUUUUAUGACAUGUCGAUUGUAAAUCCACGUCCAACUACCUCAAAUGCUUGUACAACUAAUUCAUUUUGCAUAUCUUCAUUGGACGCAGUUUAGUCCACAAUAACCUGUUCAUGCACACAACAAAUACCAACAUAAAUGAAAAAAAAAACUAAGUAUUGUACAUUAAAUAAAAAAUUUCGAUGUAUUCAACACACCACAUUCUGUUGCAGUCCAGAUGCAAUUUCAAUGUCACCCAACCUAACAUUCGUCCAAUGUGUGAUACGAGGAUAUCUAUUUCCAAUCCUUGACAUUUGCCACUUGUAAGAGAACAAAUGUUCAAGAGCCCAUAUCUACACAAUUCAUAUCAAAUUAAUGUCAGUAACCACAAAAUGUAUGGGAAGUCAUUACAGAUACAAAGUAAACAUUUUAAAUUACCUGCAUCAAGUAGACACAACCACGAAGCCUUUCUUCCAUGAAGGAUUAUUUGUAAAGGUUGGUAGGAAUGAGGUAGAGUUGUGUAUACUCCAGUUCGCUAAUGACACUCUCUUUCUUUGUGAAGAGUCUUUUAGUAAUGUGGUUACCAUGAAGGCUAUUCUCAUGGGUUUUGAACUAGCUUCAAGCCUGAAGAUUAACUUUCAUAAAUCAAAGCUAGCAGGCAUAAAUGUUGAUAGAAAUGCCCUUGUGUGUUAUACAAAUACUCUAAAUUGUACACAGAUGGAGUACCUUUCAAGUAUCUGGGACUAGAAAUGGGUGGAAACCCAAGGAAGAAACAUUUUUCGGAGCCUAUCUUAAGCAAAUUAAGUGCUAGACUCAGUGUGUGGAAAGGGAUACUUUUUUUUUAUGGCAGGGAGGAUAAGCUUAAUUAAGUUUGUUAUCACAACCCUACCCUUUUUCUACUUAUCACUUUUCAAAGCACCGGAGUUAGUCUGGAAAAGCAUCAUUAGUAUCCAAAUGAGGUUUUUAUGGGGUUAGGGGACGGAGAGCAUACCGAUCUCAUUGGUAGGCUGGGAGAACCUGUAUAAACCUAAAGAGGAGGGUGGGCUGAGAUUUAAAGAUAUUCGAAAGUUUAACUGUGCUCUCCUGGCUAAAUGAAGAUGGCGUCUUCUGACUAAAGAGAAAAGGAUGUGGAAAGAUUUGUUGGUUUCAAAGUGUGGCUCAGAUUUAGGUAAUACUCAAACACAUGUGAAAUUCCAGUCCUGGUGGUGGAGAGAUUUGUCUAAAGUUUGUAGGGAGGGAGGAAGAGCAUGUUGGUUUCAAGAAGCUUUAGGAUGGAAAAUAGGAGAUGGAGAUAAAGCUAGAUUCUGGGAGGAUGUGUGGGUUGGCAACCUUAACCUCAAAACUUUGUUCCCGAGGAUGUACUCGCUAUCUUUAAAUCAGGGACAAAAGGUGGAAGAGGUAGGUGUGUGGGAAGAAUCAGUAUAAAGGUGGAGCUUAAGAUGGAGGCGUGUUGAGUGGGAAUCCAUGAUGUAGGCAGAACUAUUAACGUAUAUCUAGGGGCUCCAUGAAUAGGGAAGAAAUGGAUCUCCAUGUGUGGGGGAGUGAAGAAUCAGGGUUGGUCUUUGUGAAUUCAGCAUAUGAAUGCUUAGCUAAGCAUGCCAAAGGUCUUCAACAUGACCACUUCAAAUGCUUGUGGAAGGUUAAAGUGCUUCCCAAAGUAAUCACCAUAGCGUGGAGGGUCUUUUUGGAUAGAAUCCCAACUAGAAUGUGCUUGAGUAGGACAGGGAUGGUGGUGAACAUUACUAUAUGUGCAAUGUGUCAGGCUAUGGAUGAAUCAAAUCAACAUCUAUUUUUAUAAUGCAAAUAUGCACAAUGUGUAUGGUCUUUUUGCUUCUUAUGGAUUGGUGUCUUGUUUGUUCAACACAAUGAAUUAAAUACCCACUUUGAGAACUUUCACCUGGUUCAGGCUAGUAGUAAACAAAAUUUGGUAUGGAAAGGUUUGUGGGCAGCUAUAGUGAGAUGUAUGUGGGAACAACGAAAUUAUGUUAUCUUUAAACAAGGGGUAGUAAUAGAUGCGGAAGAGAUAUUUCAGAUGGCACAACUAAAAUCGUAGUUAUGGAUGAAACACCUUCCAGUACGACUACCUUAUUACGAUUUCACUCCAGUCACUAGCACUCUUUCAACUACUCCUUCAUGGAUUGGGUUUUGAAUCCUCUUGAAUGCAUUAUAAGUUAUAAAUAAAUGAGAAAGGUUAGAGGAAGGUGAUCUAGGAGUUAGAUGUGUCAAUGGGAUGCCAUAGUAGUUGAAGGCCCUGCUGGUCGACUUUUUGUCUCUAGGCAUAAGGUCUUAUGAUCAAGACAAGGAGAUUCGUAUAAAUGAGGGAGUAAAAAAGUAAGGGUACUGGAAUUGUGUAGGAACUAGAAAAUAAAAGAUGUUGGAGGUGGGGCAGGGGCAACAUGUUGCAAUAUGUGGUGCAUGGUAUGUUCCUCAAGGGCACUCCCAAAUAUUCACUGGUUUGGUCAAAUGAGCAAUUUUGUCAUUAUCAAGGUUUUUAGUUCUCUCGUGGAAGUGAAGCUUGUGCAAACAUAUCAGAAAUUGUGAUUGUGAGAAGCAGCACACAACAGAUGCUCACUUCAUGAGAAUAAGUUGCUAAUUGUUGUGGAUAUGGACGAAAGCCUAACUGGUGCUGUCAAUGUAGCCUUGUAGUGGAAAGAAAACUAAACAGAACCAGGUCUAGUAAGGGAGAGGACUUUAAAAUUAUUGUCCAACAGUAAGGAGGAUACUAUAAAGCAUUGCAAAGGGACUUUUGAGUUGUUGUGGUCUUUCCUGCACAAGCCUACAUGGAGGUAUGGCAAAAGGGUGUAUGGCUGCUAUUAUGCAGGGGAUGCUAGCCCAAUUUUGCAGAUGCAAAUUCAGUGCAGGCCAUUGUGAUGCAGGGGAUGCUGGCCCAAUUAUGCAGGUGUAGAUUUGGUGCAUGCCAUUGUGAUGUAGUGUUAUGGGUUUGUGCUGAUUCGGUAUGUUUAUUUCUCCUGGUUUUGGUUAUGUGAUAGCUGUUGUAGAUGGUUUUGUAUUACAAAAAUUUUGGAGUAGUUGAAGCGUAUGGAUAGAGUUAUAUGGAUGGAUUUUAGGAUUGUUUUAUUAUGUUCUAAGCCUAUAGGUGGUGUGAAGCACUUGUUUUUUAUAUAUUGGUUGGAAUAUUAGUGAAGUAUUUUUUUUUAUUUUUUGUUGAUGAAAAAAACAUAAUACUUAUUUCUAAUGAUUGUAUAAAUAUUAAAGAAUGAAAUUAAUAUUUUAAAUUUUAUAAUAUCAAGUUUACAAUAUACUAGUUUUUUAUCUCUUUUAUUGAUUACUCACUUCUACUAGAGAGUGUACUCUUCUUAACAAGUAUAUUCAUUAAGAGUAGUACUAAGAAAAUGUGACAUUGACUAUUAAAACCUAAAUAAUUUAGAAUUUCUUUUUGUCUAAAACGUCAGUUAAAGGAGACUGAUUUAACUUUUUACUAAUUUAUUUAUUAUGAAAGUUGCAUUUUUGGCAAAAUUAGAAUGGAGGACUUGUAGGUAAGGGGGUCCCAUAUGGUGGAUUUCAAGGAACAUGUGUGACUAAUGAAGCUAUUACCUUCAAUUGUGGUUCACAAGUUGGCACUAAUAAUGUGUGAAACUGGACAAGAGAGACACUAAUCAAAAGGAAAAAGAUAAUCAUGAAAAAAUAAAUAACCAUUCAUCAUAACCCAUUAUAAAGAAGCCAGACACAUUCAUCCUUAAACACAAAGCAUUCCAUGGCGGAACAGCGUGAGAAGCUUCACAUUGUGGUGUUUCCUUGGCUAGCAUUUGGUCACAUACUCCCAUUUUUUGAGCUUGCAAAACUCAUAGCUCAAAAGGGUCACAAAAUUUCUUUCAUUUCCACGCCUAGAAAUAUCCAUCGUCUACCCAAAGUGCCUGAAAACUUGCAACCUUUGGUGGAUCUCAUAGAACUCCCACUGCCCCGUGUUGACAAACUCCCAGAAAAUGCAGAGGCCACAGUGGACAUUCCUUACCACAUCAUUCCAUACCUCAAGCUUGCUUUUGAUGGUCUUGAACAACCUUUGACCAAGUUUCUGGAGAGAUGCAAACCCCAUUGGAUAAUAUACGACUUUGCACCCUAUUGGUUGCCACCAAUAUCUUCCAAGCUAGGAAUCUCAUGCGUCUCAUUCAAUAUUUUUAGUGCAUCAUGUAUGUAUUAUUUUUCGGAUAUUUUUACAAGAAAAGAAAGUGAGUCCUCGCGGAAAUAUAUUCCUGAAGAGCAUAAUGAGAAUAAUGAAUCGGGGGUUUCAGAUGUGUUUCGGGUGCUUACAACUUUUAAUGGUGCUCAAUUUAUUGCUUCAAGAAGCUGCAUGGAGAUUGAAGGUGAGCCUCUCAAAUUGUGUGAAAGUAUAUAUAGGAAAACAGUGAUUCCAGUUGGGUUAUUGCCACCUUCAUUACAGUUCAGUGAAGACAGCAAUGAUGAAAACUGGAACACCAUCCUUAAUUGGUUAGACAAACAGGAAAAAGGGUCAGUGAUUUAUGUAGCUUUUGGAUCUGAAGUCACACUAAGUGAUGAAGACUUCACUGAAAUUACUAUGGGAAUAGAAAUGUCUGGUUUUCCUUUUUUUUGGGUUCUGAAGAAGCAAAACACCUCUAGUGUUGAGUUGCAGGAUGUGGUUGUGAAUAACUCAGGAAAGGGUAUGGUGUGGACAACAUGGGCCCCACAGGUGAGGAUUUUAUCACACAAGUCUAUUGGGGGGUUCCUCACUCACUGUGGUUGGAGUUCAGUUAUUGAGAGUCUUCAAAUUGGGUGUCCGCUUGUUAUGUUGCCCUUCCAAAGUGAUCAAUUUAUAAAUGCUGGGUUUAUGGAGGAGAAAAGGGUAGGGGUCAAAGUACAGAGAAAUAAGCACUGUGGGAAGUUCACAAGGGAAUCAUUGGCCAUAGCAUUGAGAUCAGUGAUGUUGGAAAAAACUUAUAGAAGUGAAGCACAGAAGAUGAGUAAGAUAUUUGGGGACAAAGAACUGCACCAAAAAUACAUUGAUCACUUUGUUGAUUACAUGGAAAACCAUAGGCCUACCAUGAAAGAUUAGUUUUCUGCCAUGAAGGAUUAUUUGUAAUUGAUGCAUAAGUUUUAACGUUGUUUGUUAUUGGUUGAGUUGAUUGAUGUCUAGAAAUGUUUGAGUUUCCCUUUUGAAACAAAAAAUUUAAAUGGAUUGAAAGAUUAUCCUCUUAGAAAGAACUGGAAUACCUUGUUCUAUUUUGAAGAUUGAACUCAGAAAGAUAUGCAUCCAAUCCGUGGAAUACAUAGACGUGAAGUUGUUUUGUGAUAAACACACAUAUGCAUCUCCAAAUGAUUCACAAUCAGUAAUAAAAGCAACUUUGAAGAAAUGGAAAUAAUAAUAUAUCUUAACACAUCAAAAUAUUAGUUUCCUAACCAAAUCAAAGCAAAGAAACCAAGCAAGUAAGGCUUUCCCAUUCCACCACUUUGAAUAUAUGCAAACAGCAAUAGCCAGUUUCAAUCAAGGUAAAAAACAAAGAUAUGCACAUUUUUUAAGUCUGGUAUGAGGUGUUAGCUGAGACUUCAAUGUCGCAUUCAAUAGUCUAUAUAUUAAGAAAUGCCCUUUUGCUUUAUCUUCAGAUUUUUCAGCCCACUUGCAAUGGUUUAGUUUGGAUUAUGAUACUCACAUUUAUUGUUGUAUCACAUUAGACCACAUGUUGCUAGUUCUAUUUGUCAGAUAUUUGUGAAAUUUUACAGUAUUUUUCUUGGCUCAUAUUGUUUAUUGUUUGUCUUUUCACAGGUGGGUACUUGUGUUGAAAGUGGAGCAAUGUGUUGUGUGCAGUAGUAGAAAACUUUUCAGACGAGUACCUCCGCCACAGUGAUAUGCCCAUAUGCACAUUUAUUAACAGUGUACCAUAUAACAUCAGUAUUUGUUGUAAAAGCUCAUCUUUUACCUACCCUUAACUACUAAACACCAUCCAAAAUCUUAUAAACUUCAAUGGAUUAAAGAUGAUGAUACAUAGUAUACCUAUCUCCCUAUAAAACUAUCAAGAUAAACAAAUUUUAUGUGAUAUAGUUCCUAUAGGCACACAAUAUCUUCCUUGGUAGGUCAUGAUAAUAUAUAAUCAUAAAAGUAUUGAGAAUGAGUUUCCCAAUAAAAUAAGUUUCACUUAUCAAGGAAGAAAAAUAUUUGUUUCUCCUAUCACACUCAACAAAUGAGGGAUGAUAAAUUAAAAAUGAAAAAAAAAGUUUUAAGAGGAAAAGAAAAAGAAAAGGAGAAGAUAGAGAAAGUUAGAAAGGAAAGAAGAGUUAAUCAAACAAAACUCUAAAGAAACAAAUACAAGAGAAACUCUUAAGAGGACAUGUAUAUUCUUGAACUCUUGUUCUAAAAGAGGUAAUAAUUCUAAAUUGUCUUCUAAAAAAAUCUAUAAAGAAAAUCACUUUCUCUUAUUGUUGCCUAGUACAUGACAAAAACAAAAUGAAGGAUUUCUCAUCGGCUCCGAUUUUCUACUUUUAUGAUGUUAUACCACAAGAUGGUUACUACUCUAUUGUUUCAAGGGAUUUUUAGAGUAAUUUAUCAUAUUUUUAUUUUUUCUUUAUUUGUUUAAUUCUAUCAUCAAGUAUAAGAGAAAAAAAGGUGAUUAUGUGAAGGAAAACAACCUAAACAGGCACAGUUAUAUAAGCUAUAAAAUCAGUCAACAAAAUUGACUUUUAGGGUUUCUUUUCAAAGUAAAAAGAAUUUGUUUAGAGAGAAUACUGGCACACAAAGCCCUCAAACAGAAUGCAUAGAACCAACACAUGCAUAUUUGACUAGUAAUUAAAUUUCUUAAAUUUUCAAAAAGAUAUGGAAUAUAUUCCUAUUUAGGAUGAAAAUAACUCCCAACCAAAUCGUAUUCAAAGCGAUAAUAAAAUAAAUUUGGACUCAUAACAAUUUUGAGAAGGAAUUAGCAACAAAAACAAUGCACGAAGAUUUAAAACAUCUUCAAUGAAAUGUUGUGAGGGAUGAAACAAUAAGUUGUUUUUGUGAAAAAAGUCGGUUGUUCACUAGUAGAAAAUAUGCAAUUAACGACACCAUACAAAGAGGAUUCUUAAAGAAAAGUCGUUAUAAGAGAGAAGGUGGCAGUUUCUGUAAAUAUUUUCAAAUUCUUAGUGGUCUUAACGACGGUUCAAGCAGGAACCGUCGUUAACCGUGUAAGACUGUGGAUAUAAAGAUGGUUCUAUACAAAACCGUCGUUAUUUGGCUGUUCAGGAAAAAAAAAGCGCGCUCCUUUCCCUCACUCUUCAUUCUCACAUUUUCGCACAACAUUCUCUCCUCACCAACAACCACUGCCAGUUGCGCCGCCUACUCCGACUGUGUCGCCAUGAGCAGCCGCCGCGAGCUUCGUCCCAGCUCCCAUCGCGAGCUCCAAUCCAACUCCCGUUGCGACUCUCCCUUGCUCCGUCAGCCUCCUCUGCCGCACCAGCCACCACAACCGCUAUGAAUCAAGUUCGGUCAGCUUCUGCAUCCGCGCGAGCCUCAUGCGUGUCGCACCGACCAGCUUCCUCCGCUGCACUAGCUCUCGCCACCACGUCCCACUCCUACUACCGCCACCAAGCAGGUUAGUUUUUAUUUAUUUAUUUAAUUAUUUUUAUAAUAAAUAUUUACUUUAUUAAAUUUAUAAUAAAUGUUUUCAUUUAUAUUUAUAUUUAUAGUAGUUAGUAUUCUAUUUUAUUUAAUUAAUUUUAUAAUAAAUAUUUGCAUGUAUGUGUUGAUUAGUAAUUAUUAGUAUAUGUAUGUAUUCAGCACGUUGAUUCUGAGUCCGGGGCUGUCUGACUCUUGACAUGUUUGAUUUAGUUAUAGGAUUGUAUUUAUUGAACAUGUUGAUUCUGAGCCCAAGGGUGUCCGACCCUUGACAUAUUUGAUUUAAUUAUAGUAUGUUAUUUAUUUAAGACAUUGAUUCUGAGUCCGACGGUGUCCGACCCUCAAGAAUUUUAAUUUAAUUAUAGAAUCUGUAUAUAUUGAACACGUUGAUUCUGAGUCUGGGGGUGUCCGUCCCUUGGCAAUUUUGAUUUAGAUUUUUUCAAUUUACCAGUUUUAUGGAUCGGAGUUGGAUUAGUACAUUAAGGAUAAGUGAUGCUUACGAAAAAGGGGUUGAAGAAUUCUUACAGUUUACACAACAUAUUGUCGUUAGUAAUCAAUACAAGUUGGACACUAAUGCUUCUGAGUUGGAAGGGUGUUAACUUCGAUGGGAACGAAUGACGUAUAUUUUCUUGCUUUUGCACAAACCAACAUGAAGUAUCUUAAUUCUUUGUCUUUUCCUCUCUUUGAACUUCUUUUUCUAAUUCCAAAACCUUUUCUAAUGGCAUAUUCUUUGUAGAAAGUUUUAACAACAUCGACAUUGUUAAAUGACAUGCCAACUGUAGGAACUAAUUCACUAACAUCAACAGCUAUGUUAUCAAAUUCUUGCGAAGGCUGACCGUCUUCAAACAAGGAAAUCUCAUCAGGAGAAAUAUUAUCCAUAUCUAUCCAGAGCUACAUUAUAUACAAAUUUGAUAUUGCAAAUUAAGACAUGUUAUUUGUUAACAAAUAUGUCCAAUUUUUUUUAUCAAAACUAGGGUUUUUUUGUGACUUUGGAACUAAAAUAUGUAAUAAGAUCCCACGAUAAUUGGUGCAAAAAAUAACAUAUCUAAGAGGUUUAACACAACUCAUAUGCAACCAUAGUUGAUACUGUCAUCACAUUUUACAGAUUAUUUUAAACAAACACAUUGUGCAAAAUUAUAGUUUUUGGAAAUAGAAUGACAAGUAGGGUUUUUUUUUUGCUCUACAAGUGAAAUGUCCAAAUAUUCCAUGAUUUGGCAUACAAAAUGAAUGUACAUGCAUGAACUCCAACCAAAAAAUGAAAACUUUAAUUAAAAUUCACUAACAUUGUGUAUACAAGUCUAAUAAAUGCAUCUUCAAAAUCAUAACAAAUGCAUGUGUAUUAAAUAUGUGCAAAACCUGUGGGUCCCACACUCAUUGGAAUACAUGGAAUGAAGGAAGUGGAUAGAGACUGAAUACAUUAAAAGUUGCGGGUUCCACCUUGAACAAGAGCGCAAAAAAAUAAAUUUUUGAUGCUGGAAAAUGCAAAAUGUUGGUGGGGGAGUGAAGAAUCAGGGUUGGUCUUUGUGAAUUCAGCAUAUGAAUGCUUAGGUAAGUAUGCCAAAGGUCUUCAACAUGACCACUUCAAAUGCUUGUGGAAGGUUAAAGUGCUUCCCAAUGUAAUCACCAUAGCGUGGAGGGUCUUUUUGGAUAGAAUCCCAACUAGAAUGUGCUUGAGUAGCACAGGGAUGGUGGUGAACAUUACUAUAUGUGCAAUGUGUCAGGCUAUGGAUGAAUCAAAUCAACAUCUAUUUUUAUAAUGCAAAUAUGCACAAUGUGUAUGGUCUUUUUGCUUCUUAUGGAUUGGUGUCUUGUUUGUUCAACACAAUGAAUUAAAUACCCACUUUGAGAACUUUCACCUGGUUCAGGCUAGUAGUAAACAAAAUUUGGUAUGGAAAGGUUUGUGGGCAGCUACAGUGAGGUGUAUGUGGGAACAAAGAAAUUAUGUUAUCUUUAAACAAGGGGUAAUAGAUGCGGAAGAGAUAUUUCUGAUGGCACAACUAAAAUCGUAGUUAUGGAUGAAACACCUUCCAGUACGACUAUCUUAUUACGAUUUCACUCUAAUCACUAGCACUCUUUCAACUACUCCUUCAUGGAUUGGGUUUUGAAUCCUCUUGAAUGCAUUAGAAGUUAUAAAUAAAUGAGAAAGGUUAGAGGAAGGAGAUCUAGGAGUUAGAUGUGUCAAUGGGAUGUCAUAGUAGUUGAAGGCCCUGCUGGUCGACUUUUUGUCUCUAGGCAUAAGGUUUUAUGAUCAAGACAAGGAGAUUCGUAUAAAUGAGGGAGUAAAAAAGUAAGGGUACUGGAAUUGUGUAGGAACUAGAAAAUAAAAGAUGUUGGAGGUGGGGCAGGGGCAACAUGUUGCUAUAUGUGGUGCAUGGUAUGUUCCUCAAGCGCACUCCCAAAUAUUCACUGGUUUGGUCAAAUGAGCAAUUUUGUCAUUAUCAAGGUUUUUAGUUCUCUCGAGGAAGUGAAGCUUGUGCAAACAUAUCAAAAAUUGUGACUGUGAGAGGCAACACGCAACAGAUGCUCACUUCAUGAGAAUAUGCUGCUAAUUGUUGUGGAUCUGUCAAUGUGGCCUUGUAGUGGAAAGAAAAUGAAACAGAACCAGGUCUAGUAAGGGAGAGGACUUUAAAAUUAUUGUCCAACAGUAAGGAGGAUACUAGAAAGCAUUGCAGGGGGACUUUUGAGUUGUUGUGGUCUUUCCUGCACAAGCCUACAUGGAGGUAUAGCAAAAGGGUGUAUGGCUGCUAUUAUGCAGGGGAUGCUAGCCCAAUUCUGCAGAUGCAAAUUCGGUGCAGGCCAUUGUGAUGCAGGGGAUGCUGGCCCAAUUAUGCAGGUGCAGAUUUGGUGCAGGCCAUUGCGAUGUUGUGUUAUGGCUUUGUGCUGAUUCGGUAUGUUUAUCUCUCCUGAUUUUGGUUAUGUGAUAGCUGUUGUAGAUGGUUUUGUAUUACAAAAUUUUUGGAGGAGUUGAAGCGUAUGGGUAGAAUUAUAUGGAUGGAUUUUAGGAUUGUUUUAUUAUGUUCUAAGCCUAUAGGUGGUGUGAACCACUUGUUUUUUAUAUACUGUUUGGAAUAUUACUGAAGUAUUUUUUAUUUAUUUUUGUUGAUUAAAAAACAUAAUAGUUAUUUCUAAUGAUUCUAUAAAUAUUAAAGAAUGGAAUUAACAUUUUAAAUUUUAUAAUAUCAAGUAAUUUUACAAUAUACUAUUUUUUUAUCUCUUUUAUUGAUUACUCACUUCUCCUAGAACCUACUCUUCUUACCAAGUACAUUCAUUAAGAGUAGUACUAAGAAAAUGUGACAUUGACUAUUAAAAGCUAAAUAAUUUAGAUUUCUUUUUUGUCUAAAACGUCAGUUAAAUGUGACAGAUUUAACUUUUCACUAAUUUAUUUAUUAUGAAAGUUGCAUUUUUGGCAAAAUUGGAAUGGAGGAGUUGAAAGUAAGGGGGUCCCAUAUGGUGGAUUUGAAAGGAACUAAUAAAGCUAUUACCUUCAAUUGUGGUUCACAAGUUGGCACUAAUAAUGUGUGAAAGUUGACAAGAGAGACAGUAAUGGAUGGAAAAAGAUAAUCAUGACAAAAAUUAGGCAUUCAAAAUGGUCCCAGUGUUAACGUUGAUAUUUUCUAUACAUUAAAAAAAAAUAACCAUUCAUGAUGCCACACACAUUCAUCCUUAAACACAAGCAUAUCCAUGGGGGAGCAGCGUGAGAAGCUUCACAUCAUGGUGUUUCCAUGGCUAGCAUUUGGUCACAUAGUCCCAUUUUUUGAACUUGCGAAACUCAUAGCUCAAAAGGGUCACAAAAUUUCUUUCAUUUCCACACCUAGAAAUAUCCAUCGUCUACCCAAAGUGCCUGAAAACUUGCAACCUUUGGUGGAUCUGAUAGAACUCCCACUGCCCCGUGUUGACAAACUCCCAGAAAAUGCAGAGGCCACUGUUGACAUUCCUCACCACAUCAUUCCAUACCUCAAGCUGGCUUUUGAUGGUCUUGAACAACCUUUGACCAAGUUUCUGGAGAGAUCCAAACCCCAUUGGAUAAUAUACGACUUUGCACCUUAUUGGUUGCCACCGAUAUCUUCUAAGCUAGGAAUCUCAUGCGUCUCAUUCUGUAUUUUUAGUGCAUCUGGUAUGUAUUCUUUUUCGGA
rnacentral:lncRNA from 1 species